CGUUCGGUUGGCAGAUGGGCUCUUCUGGGGGAUCCACUCGCAUCCCCGGGCUGUGUGGGGAUCUCUGGAAGGCUGGGUUCCACUGGGCUGUUGUUGACGGAGUGUCCCGACGUGGCCUCUCCAGCACGGUGGUCUUAAGCUCAAACACAUUUCCUGUGUUCACACUCUGCUCUGCAAUGUGAUUUCCUGAAGCUUGGCUUGGCUCCAGCGGAUGGUAGAGUACCACAGAAAGCCAGCUGGGAGAGGAAAGAGCCUUCGCUUGCAUAAAGUUUUCCAACAUCCCAAUGGUCAGACAGUGGCCUUGCUUGCUGUCAUCAGAAAAGGACAUGUGGGGCCGUUUUGCACUACUCCAAGUGACAGGCUGAAAGUACUCCCUCCCCUCACUAGCCUUGGAUUUACUUUUGAGUGGGAAGAGCAGGACUUGCCCCCACAACUCCAUCCUGUAUCACGUGACCCUGGGACAUGACAAGUAUGCCAAACGAAUGAGUGAGCCAAAUGAUGGUGGUGAUGAGGAUGACAAAGACCACUUCGUUCUAAGAGCUCUAUAUUAAUUCAUUCAAUUCUCACCCCAACUCUGAGGCAGGAACUUCGUUAUCCCCAUGUUAGAGGUGAGGAAAUGAGAUACCGUGAGAUCCAAAGCUAAGAAGCUUUGGGGUUGAGAUUU